GACGAACGCUGGCGGCGUGCUUAACACAUGCAAGUCGAACGGAAAGGCCCUGCUUUUGUGGGGUGCUCGAGUGGCGAACGGGUGAGUAACACGUGAGUAACCUGCCCUUGACUUUGGGAUAACUUCAGGAAACUGGGGCUAAUACCGGAUAGGAGCUCCUGCUGCAUGGUGGGGGUUGGAAAGUUUCGGCGGUUGGGGAUGGACUCGCGGCUUAUCAGCUUGUUGGUGGGGUAGUGGCUUACCAAGGCUUUGACGGGUAGCCGGCCUGAGAGGGUGACCGGCCACAUUGGGACUGAGAUACGGCCCAGACUCCUACGGGAGGAAGCAGUGGGGAAUAUUGCACAAUGGGCGGAAGCCUGAUGCAGCAACGCCGCGUGCGGGAUGACGGCCUUCGGGUUGUAAACCGCUUUCGCCUGUGACGAAGCGUGGGUGACGGUAAUGGGUAAAGAAGCACCGGCUAACUACGUG
rnacentral:rRNA from 1 species